rnacentral:rRNA from 1 species
AAGCGCUUGCAAUCAGACUUGCACUUGGUGUUCAUCAGGGUCUCGUACCCUGUGUACUUCAUCAAGUUCAGGCCAGCAUCAGUUUGAGUGGUUAGAUAAAGGCUUAGAGAAUGUGGCCCUCUUCGGGGGUGUUAUAGCUCUAGGUGCAAUGUAGCCUACUUGGACUGAGGACCGCGCUUCGGCUAGGAUGCUGGCGUAAUGGUUGUAAGCGA